rnacentral:rRNA from 1 species
GACGAACGCUGGCGGCGUGCUUAACACAUGCAAGUCGAACGCUGAAGCUUGGUGCUUGCUCUGGGUGGAUGAGUGGCGAACGGGUGAGUAAUACGUGAGUAACCUGCCCUUGACUCUGGGAUAAGCCUGGGAAACUGGGUCUAAUACUGGAUACGACAUUCCACUGCAUGGUGGUGUGUGGAAAGGGGUUUACUGGUUUUGGAUGGGCUCACGGCCUAUCAGCUUGUUGGUGGGGUAAUGUCCUACCAAGGCGACGACGGGUAGCCGGCCUGAGAGGGUGACCGGCCACACUGGGACUGAGACACGGCCCAGACUCCUACGGGAGGCAGCAGUGGGGAAUAUUGCACAAUGGGCGGAAGCCUGAUGCAGCGACGCCGCGUGAGGGAUGACGGCCUUCGGGUUGUAAACCUCUUUCAGCACGGAAGAAGCGAGAGUGACGGUACGUGCAGAAGAAGCGCCGGCUAACUACGUG